rnacentral:ncRNA from 1 species
AUGUUUCACAUAGCGUGAAUUAAAAGGGAAUCAGGUGAGAAUCCUGGACAGACCCGCUGCUGUGUUUCCCGCUAAGUCAUUGCACAACGUCAGUGCCACUGAGCCCCCAAUCUGAGAGGAACUUGGGAAGGCCGUGCAAGUGAUGGGAUGAGUCAGAAGACCUGCCAGUUUUAU